AUAUUUGUUGAGCCGAAACUUUCCAGAGUAAAGUGUGGGGGAUGUAAUCUGCAGUGCAAUCGGAAUAGAUUGUACUCUUGGGGUGAAUUGCGCAUUGUGCGCAAAGGGUUGUCUCCUCAAUCCGAAUCCGACAGCUAACCUCGCAGGCACAAAUUUAGGAGGAAUU
rnacentral:sRNA from 2 species